rnacentral:rRNA from 1 species
GAUGAACGCUAGCGGCAGGCCUAAUACAUGCAAGUCGGACGGGAUUCAGGAGCUUGCUUCUGAUGAGAGUGGCGCACGGGUGCGUAACACGUAUGUAACCUACCUUUAUCAGGGGGAUAGCCUCUCGAAAGAGAGAUUAAGCCCGCAUAAAAUCACAGCACAGCAUUGUGUAAUGAUCAAAUAUUUAUAGGAUAAAGAUGGGCAUGCGGAACAUUAGCUAGAUGGCGGGGUAACGGCCCACCAUGGCGACGAUGUUUAGGGGAUCUGAGAGGAUGGCCCCCGACACGGGUACUGGGACACGGACAAGACUCCUACGGGAGGCAGCAGUAAGGAAUAUUGGGCAAUGGGCGGAAGCCUGAACCAGCCAUGCCGAGUGCAGGAAGACGGCCCUACGGGUUGUAAACUGCUUUUAGACGGGAAUAAACCCAGAUACGUGUAUCUGGCUGAAUGUACUGUAAGAAUAAGGAUCGGCUAACCCCGUG